UACGUAGGGUGCGAGCGUUGUCCGGAAUUAUUGGGCGUAAAGAGCUCGUAGGCGGUGUGUCACGUCGGCCGUGAAAACCUGCAGCUUAACUGUGGGCGUGCGGUCGAUACGGGCAUCACUGGAGUUCGGCAGGGGAGACUGGAAUUCCUGGUGUAGCGGUGAAAUGCGUAGAUAUCUGGAGGAACACCGGUGGCGAAGGCGGCAUCCUGGACCGACACUGACGCUGAGGAGCGAAAGCCAGGGGAGCAAACGGG
rnacentral:rRNA from 1 species